rnacentral:ncRNA from 1 species
CAGAAUCAGAGGGGAAAGAAGACCCUGUUGAGCUUGACCCUAGUCUGGCAUGGUGAAGAGACAUGAGAGGUGUAGAAUAAGUAGGAGGCCCCUGGCGCCCCCCCCCCCCGUCCCCGCGAGGGGGUGAGCCGCCGGUGAAUUACCACUACUCUGAUCAUUUUUUCACUGACCCAGUGAGGUGGAGGUGGAGGGGCGAGCCCCGAGGGGCUCUCGCUUCUGGUGCCAAGCGCCUGGCCGCACGCCAGCCAGGCACAACCCGCUUUAGGGACAGUGCCAGGUGGGGAGUUUGACUGGGGCGGUACACCUGUCAAACGGUAAUGCAGGUGUCCUAAGGCGAGCUUAGGGAGGACAGAAACCUCCCAUGGAGCAGAAGGGCAAAAGCUCGCUUGAUAUUGAUUUUCAGUAUGAAUACAGACCGUGAAAGCGGGGCCUCACGAUCCUUCUGACCUUUUGGGUUUUAAGGAGGAGGUGUCAGAAAAGUUACCACAGGGAUAACUGGCUUGUGGCUGCGAAGCAUUCAUAGUGAUGUCGCUUUUUGAUCCUUCGAUGUCGGCUCUUCCUAUCAUUGUGAAGCAGAAUUCACCAAGCAUUGGAUUGUUCACUCACUAAUAGGGAACGUGAGCUGGGAUUAGACCGUCAUGAGACAGGUUAGUUUUACCCUACUGAUGAUGUGUUGUUGCCAUGGUAAUCCUGCUCAGUAAGAAAGGAACCGCAGGUUCAGACAUUUGGUGUAUGUGCUUGGCUGAGAGGCAAAUGGGGCGAAGCUACCAUCUGUGGGAUUAUGACUGAACGCCUCUAAGUCAGAAUUCCACCCAGGCUGAAUGAUAAGGCUGCGCCGUGGGGCCUCGGUUGGCCUCGGAUGGCCAGUCCCCCUUCGUCCCCACAGGCGGGCCACUCCGCCCGGUGGGGGGCAUGUCCCGCCGCUCGCCGGGACCGGGGUCGGUGCGGAGUGCCCUUGUCCUGAAAAACGAGGUGUGGCCGAAACGGUGGCCACCCCCUCGCCCGUCUCAACACACGCAGGUUCGUGGGGAACCUGGCGCUAAACCAUUCAUAGACGACCUGCUUCUGGGUCAGGGUUUCGUAUGUAGCAGAGCAGCUCCCUCGCUGCAAUCUAUUGAAAGUCAGCCCUCAACACAAGGUCC